rnacentral:rRNA from 1 species
UCCAUAUUAUGUUUUCUGCUUUAUGUGCGCAUCCUCUACCUAUUAAGUGUUAAUUAAAUUAAAGGGUUUCUUUUUAAAAUCUUCUAUAACUAAUAAAAAAAUAUGGAAGAUUUUGUUACUUUGAGUAAAUUAGAGUGUUCAAAGCAAACAGAUAUAUAGCAUUUGUGCGUUUGAAUACUACAGCAUGGAAUAACAAAAUUGAACAGGUCAAAACUAUGUUUCUUUUUUUUUUAUUUUUGGCUUAGUUACGAUUAAUAGGAGUAGUUUGGGGACAUUUGUAUUCAGAUGUCAGAGGUGAAAUUCUAAGAUUUUCUGGAGACAAACAACUGCGAAGGCAUUUGUCUAAAAUACUUCCAUUAAUCAAGAACGAAAGUUAAGGGAGUGAAGACGAUCAGAUACCGUCGUAAUCUUAACCAUAAACUAUACCGACUAGGUUCUGGAUGAAAGUAAAACAAAUAAGGAUAGUCUCUUCGGGGAUAGUUCUUAGAUUUCUUCCUUCAGUACCUUAUGAGAAAUCAAAGUCUUUGGGUUCUGGGGCGAGUAUUCGCGCAAGCGAGAAAGUUAAAAGAAUUGACGGAAGGGCACCACCAGGCGUGGAGCUUGCGGCUUAAUUUGACUCAACACGGGAAAACUCACUAGUUUAAGACAAGAGUAGGAUUGACAGAUUAAUAGCUCUUUCUUGAUUUCUUGGAUGGUGAUGCAUGGCCGUUUUUAGUUCGUGAAUAUGAUUUGUCUGGUUAAUUCCGAUAACGAACGAGAUCUUAACCUGCUAAUUAGCAGUAAGUACAACAUAUUUCUAUGCUGAAUUUGUAUUUGGAUAAUUUAAAAGGUUUUUUUGCCGUGCAUAUAAUGAGUACGGAAAAAAUGCAUACUGCUACCUUGUACCUAAUAAUACUUGGCGCCUAUGCAUAUUUCCAACCCUCUAUUCCCUGUACCGCAUAAAACUGGAUUAUGAUGCCAUUUCACUUUUAUGUAGAAAUGUAUUUGCUUUUACAUAAAGCUUCUUAG